UACGUAGGGGGCAAGCGUUGUCCGGAUUUAUUGGGCGUAAAGAGCGUGUAGGCGGCCAAACAGGUCCACUGUGAAAACUCGAGGCUCAACCUCGAGAGGUCGGUGGAAACCGUCUGGCUAGAGUCCGGAAGAGGAGAGUGGAAUUCCCGGUGUAGUGGUGGAAUGCGUAGAUAUCGGGAGGAAUACCAGUGGCGAAAGCGGCACCCUAGCGUUAGCCUGACGCUCAUGUGCGAAAGCGUGGGGAGCAAACGGG
rnacentral:rRNA from 1 species